AUUGAACGCUGGCGGCAUGCCUUACACAUGCAAGUCGAACGGCAGCACGGGGGCAACCCUGGUGGCGAGUGGCGAACGGGUGAGUAAUAUAUCGGAACGUACCCUGGAGUGGGGGAUAACGUAGCGAAAGUUACGCUAAUAGCGCAUACGAUCUAAGGAUGAAAGUGGGGGGAUCGCAAGACCUCAUGCUCCCGGAGCGGCCGAUAUCUGAUUAGCUAGUUGGUGGGGUAAAGGCCUACCAAGGCAUCGAUCAGUAGCUGGUCUGAGAGGACGACCAG
rnacentral:rRNA from 1 species